rnacentral:tRNA from 3 species
GGGUGAUUAGCUCAGCUGGGAGAGCACCUCCCUUACAAGGAGGGGGUCGGCGGUUCGAUCCCAUCAUCACCCACCA